ACCAACAGGAGAAUCAUUUCUAUAGUAUUUGUCCUCUUUUGUGUUCCCUAAAGGAGCCACAGAUCCCACCCGGGAUGAUGAACUAUAUCCUCGUUUCCCAACAGUGAGGUCCUUUUUAUUUUUUACUCUCGUCUUGCCUGCAAAGGUGGCGAUCUGCUUUAUAAGUAGAUUGUAUAGAGAGUGGCGAUGAUCUGUACCCCGAUUUUUUUCUCAAGGUCUGCCUUCGGGCGCUUGGGCGGGGUGGGUUUCGAUGGAAGUCUGACCGGC
rfam:Neurospora crassa OR74A linkage group II, whole genome shotgun sequence.